UACAGAGGUCUCAAGCGUUGUUCGGAUUCAUUGGGCGUAAAGGGUGCGUAGGCGGCUCGGUAAGUCGGGUGUGAAAUUUCGAGGCUUAACUUCGAAACUGCAUUCGAUACUGCCGUGCUUGAGGACUGGAGAGGAGACUGGAAUUUACGGUGUAGCGGUGAAAUGCGUAGAUAUCGUAAGGAAGACCAGUGGCGAAGGCGGGUCUCUGGACAGUUCCUGACGCUGAGGCACGAAGGCCAGGGGAGCAAACGGG
rnacentral:rRNA from 1 species